rnacentral:tRNA from 1 species
GGUCUUAUAUUCAAAUAUGAUAUUAAAUUGCAAAUUUAAGGGUAAGGUUUUCUUUAAGGCUU